AGUUCAGUUAUUUGAGAUGAAUUUCUGUGGACACGAGGAUGAAACGACAAGACCAAGAAUCGUUAUAAAGCUAUAUAUUUGGAGAAUGCGAUUAAAUAAUCCUGCUCACAAGUUCAAGAUGUCAAACUUUGACUUCUAACAAUAUAAUACAAUCAUUGCAACAUACAGUCAACAGCCAAACUAUGGAAAGUUCAUUGUAACUGUUUUAAUAAAAAGUGAAGUCCAA
rnacentral:lncRNA from 1 species